rnacentral:rRNA from 1 species
AGAUUGAACGCUGGCGGCAUGCCUUACACAUGCAAGUCGAACGGCAGCACGGGAGCAAUCCUGGUGGCGAGUGGCGAACGGGUGAGUAAUACAUCGGAACGUGCCCAAUCGUGGGGGGAUAACGCAGCGAAAGCUGUGCUAAUACCGCAUAAGAUCUACGGAUGAAAGCAGGGGAUCGCAAGACCUUGCGCGAAUGGAGCGGCCGAUGGCAGAUUAGGUAGUUGGUGAGGUAAAGGCUCACCAAGCCUUCGAUCUGUAGCUGGUCUGAGAGGACGACCAGCCACACUGGGACUGAGACACGGUCCAGACUCCUACGGGAGGCAGCAGUGGGGAAUUUUGGACAAUGGGCGAAAGCCUGAUCCAGCAAUGCCGCGUGCAGAUGAAGGCCUUGGUGUAACUGCUUUGUACGAACGAAACGUUACGUCUACUAAUACAGGGCGUAAGUAGACGGUACCGUAAGAAUAAGACACCGACUAACUACGU